UGGCGGCAGGCCUAACACAUGCAAGUCGAGCGGUAACAUUUCUAGCUUGCUAGAAGAUGACGAGCGGCGGACGGGUGAGUAACGCGUAGAAAUCUACCUAGUAGUGGGGGAUAGCCCAGAGAAAUUUGGAUUAAUACCGCAUACGCCCUACGGGGGAAAGCGGGGGAUCUUCGGACCUCAUGCUAUUAGAUGAGUCUGCGUCGGAUUAGCUUGUUGGUGAGGUAAUGGCUCACCAAGGCGACGAUCCGUAGCUGGUCUGAGAGGAUGACCAGCCACACUGGAACUGAGACACGGUCCAGACUCCUACGGGAGGCAGCAGUGGGGAAUAUUGCACAAUGGGCGCAAGCCUGAUGCAGCCAUGCCGCGUGUGUGAAGAAGGCCUUAGGGUUGUAAAGCACUUUCAGCAGUGAGGAAAGGGGUGUCGUUAAUAGCGCCAUCCUGUGACGUUAACUGCAGAAGAAGGACCGGCUAACUCCGUG
rnacentral:rRNA from 1 species